rnacentral:rRNA from 1 species
UACGGAGGGUGCAAGCGUUGUCCGGAUUUAUUGGGUUUAAAGGGUGCGUAGGCGGCCCGGUAAGUCAGUGGUGAAAGCCUCCAGCUCAACUGGAGAACUGCCAUUGAUACUGUCGGGCUUGAGUACAGACGAGGUUGGCGGAAUUGAUUGUGUAGCGGUGAAAUGCAUAGAUACAAUCAAGAACUCCGAUUGCGUAGGCAGCUAACUAGGCUGUAACUGACGCUGAGGCACGAAAGCAUGGGGAGCAAACAGG